UAGGUUGUGUAAUGGUUUGAUUCUUUCAAGAAAUUUGAGGUGCUUAAAGUUCCAAAUGAUACAAGAAGCUUUCUUUUCUCCCCUACAAGAUAGGGAGUUUUUCUAGUUCAUCAAUCACGAGAGAAAUCGAAAUUAUAUAUGUAGAAGAAGGAAUCUUGAAGAAUAUUGCGGAAGGAUCUCAUAGGAUUGAAGAUUUGAAGGAUUAAGGGGACAAUUUCAUGGAUUUUGGGAUCAGAUCAAUUGGAGGUGAUCUUGCUACAAGUGUUUUAGAGUCUUGGUGAUCUUUAGGUUUAAAGAGUCACAAGUGUUGUAUCA
rnacentral:lncRNA from 1 species